ACAGAGGCCCCUCGCUGCAUUAGUAGGCAACGCGGUGUGUAGCGAUGGAACGGUACGAGUCAAUUGCAGGGCGCGCAGGCUUCGCGCGAUCACGUGUGCUGCCGCGACGUAGUGACGCCUCGUCCUCAGCAAGUGUUUGCUACGAGAAUGCGGCGAAUUACCUACAACAUGCUCGCGGCGCCGACUGCGCUACUGCUUCAAGCUCUGUCCCUGUCGACGUAUGGGAUGCUCUGUGCCAAGCUGAAGCCUCGGUUCUCCGCGUGGGUCAGCUGAUCGAGGGUUGGCAACGUCUGGUAGCAUACGAAGGCUGCACUACUUCCAGCCAUAGUAGUGAUUUGUCAUCCCGACUCGCAUCGCUGGAGAAGUCGCUGGACAAGCUGCUUUCCGAGUUUCCCAAAACUGCUGAGGAGCUGGUGACCUUGGAUUACAACACGUCUCUGUGCUCAGCAGGAGCCAGAUCGGUCUUGACAGCCGUGCCCAGCUUUCUCUCCAUUACGGCAUCGCUUCGCACCAUCAACAGCAAGCUCUGCUCUCUUGACGGCUUUUCGCGAGAGGUGCUUCCGUUGAUGCGGUGUGAAGACAAUGUUUCGCGUCAAUGUCUCCUUGUGGCGAAUCGGCUGGACAGGUUGGAAGAGAAGCUGAGCACGGCUGAGGCGCUGGUUGCCGCGCUUGGACGCACUUCUGCAGCUAGCAAUGCUAUUUUUGAGCGUAUCGGCAUCAGGUAUGAAGACAUUACCCGCGCAGCAGCCAUGUAAACACUGUACAGCAAUCAUAUUGCGGGUGCACUGAAGUGCGAUUCUCCAGCUCAGGUUUUGAAAAUGGAUGGACGAGGAACCAUCGGUUGCACAG
rnacentral:misc_RNA from 1 species